AGAGUCCUCCAUACAAAAGCUUCUAACUUUUUAUCAAGCACUAACAUGUUUAGGACUCUA
rnacentral:tRNA from 2 species